rnacentral:pre_miRNA from 1 species
AAUGUACUCCCUCUGUUCCGAAUUACUUGUCGCAGAAAUGGAUGUAUCUAGAUGUAUUUUAGUUCUAGAUACAUCCAUUUCUGCGACAAGUAAUUUGGAACAGAGGGAGUACCUC